AGGACGAACGCUGGCGGCGCGCCUAACACAUGCAAGUCGAGCGAUAACCAGGGGCUUGCCCUUGGGGACAGCGGCGAACGGGUGCGUAACACGUGAGCAACCUGCCCCGAAGACCGGGACAACCCGAGGAAACUCGGACUAAUACCGGAUGUCCUCACCGGAUCGCAUGGUCUGGUGAGGAAAUGGAUUCCGCUUCGGGAUGGGCUCGCGGUCUAUCAGCUUGUUGGUGGGGUAACGGCCUACCAAGGCGACGACGGAUAGCUGGUCUGAGAGGACGAUCAGCCACACUGGGACUGAGACACGGCCCAGACUCCUACGGGAGGCAGCAGUGGGGAAUCUUGCGCAAUGGGGGAAACCCUGACGCAGCGACGCCGCGUGCGGGAUGAAGGCCUUCGGGUUGUAAACCGCUUUCAGCAGGGACGAAAUUGACGGUACCUGCAGAAGAAGGCCCGGCAACUACGUGCCAGCAGCCGC
rnacentral:rRNA from 1 species